rnacentral:snRNA from 1 species
GGAUCUAAGAUAAUGUCAGUCUCCUCUGCAUGUGACAUCUGUCACCCCAUUGAUGGCCUGGUUUGAUGCAUCUGAUCUGGCUGGCUGGCUGGUAUCCCCGUCUUCCCUCAGGGCUCCAGGUGCUUCCCUUCAGAAACUGUGCUUCCAGUGGAAGAGGACAAUGUUCCCUGAUAGAGAAGGACUAUUCUUGGGUCAAGGGCAUAUGAAUAGCUAUGUUCCCUUGCUAGAACCUCCAAACAAGCUCUCAAGAUCCAUUUGUAGGAGAACAGAGGCUAGUCAAGCUUCCAAGACUCCAGACACAUAUGCUGCAUGUGGCCAUCUGCCUUUCUUA